ACCUGGAAGGAAGGGAUAUGGGUGUAGGUUCACUGUGUCCUUCGUCUCCGCUUUUCUUUAGCAUUUUUUUUUUGCUCUUGCGGUCCCUGAACAGCAAAAAGUGAAAGCUAGGGCUAGCCUAACAAGCGAAGACCGCGUCUGGGCCAGCCACGAGUGGGGCGCCUGCUCCGCCGGAAGGGAUGUGCUGGAAUGGACUGUUCCUUCCGCUCGGCUCUUUCCUCUCCAGCGAGUGGGCGUAGUCAGGAAUCUACUGCCCGGGAGCAGGAGCUCGGGCUAGGAGACUCGUUUCCAGCCUCCUGGUUCCCAUAUCUCCUUAGUCUUAGUGCUUUGCCCUUAGCGGAUCAUGGAGCUUCCUGGAAAUUGUAGCCCAGUGAGGGGCGCGGAGCUUCCUUCGUUGGUUCCCUGGGUCAGCGAUGACCCGGGUGGAGACCUGUGCUCUAUCACCAGCGGCUCCGUGUACGCAGAGAAAACAAGUUCCCUGAGAGCAACCUGUCUUAAAGUGAGAGCCUCUUCAGUCCAUUAUACUCAACAAGAGAAAUCCCAUUUCUGGAUGAAUGACUGAAGCCAACAGGAAAAGCUGAAGGAAGCAAUCUGCUUCCUUUCUGGUCUGAGAAACAACCAUCUUCUUCAACCAGUCCUGCCAGCAAUCCUAGCCCAGACCCCACUGACAGCUUCCAGACACCACCAAGGCCUGCUUGGGCCCAUCAGUCAGCAGUUUGCAAGUGUCCAGCUGAUUUCAUACCCCAGGCCACUCCCAUGUCCUACUAAGUUCUGUGUCCCUGAAAGUCAUGACUGCCUGUUCUAGUCCUCUUAGACAGCCCUGCCUCAUAAUAUAAUACACUUAUUAGACUGUAAACGAGGAUGCAAGGCAUAAAGGUUUUUUUACAGGAUAAACAAACAGACCAGGAUCUGACACCAAUUUCUAGCUAUCCAGUUUUAUGAAUUUGGAGAAGCGACUGGACUUCUUUCUUGGCCUCAGUUUCCUCAUCUAUAAAACUGAGAAAAUAAAACUCAUUCAUGGC